rnacentral:sRNA from 1 species
UUCACUAGUUUUAACAAUCAAUUAAUUGGUAUAUGAUACUUUUAUUGGUUAUUUUUAUCCCAUAGUGUGAUAAUUACUAUUUUUCAUUCAUAAUAAAGGUUUAAAGCAUGUUAAUAGUGUGUAAGAUUAACAUGUACUGAAAAACAUGUUUAACAUAAUGAUAUAAGGAGUGACGUACAUGAUCCGUCUAGGUAAAAUGUCAGAUUUAGAUCAAAUCUUAAAUC